rnacentral:rRNA from 1 species
CGCAGCGACGCCGCGUGGGUGAUGAAGGCCCUCGGGUUGUAAAGCCCUGUGGGGAGGAACGAACCGUUCGGGGUGAACAUCCUCCGGGCUUGACGGUACCUCCUUAGCAAGCAUCGGCUAACUCUGUGCCAGCAGCCGCGGUAAGACAGAGGAUGCGAACGUUGCUCGGAAUUACUGGGCGUAAAGCGCGCGCAGGUUGCCUUGUAAGUCGUGUGUGAAAUCCCUCUGCUCAACGGAGGAAGUGCACGGGAUACUGCAAGGCUGGAGUACAGAAGAGGACAGCGGAAUUCCCGGUGUAGAGGUGAAAUUCGUAGAUAUCGGGAGGAACACCAGUGGCGAAGGCGGCUGUCUGGGCUGAUACUGACACUGAGGCGCGAAAGCGUGGGAAGCAAACAGGAUUAGAUACCCUGGUAGUCCACGCUGUAAACGAUGACGACUGGGUGUUGCGGGUAUUGACCCCCGCGGUGCCGAAGCCAACGCGUUAAGUCGUCCGCCUGGGAAGUACGGCCGCAAGGCUAAAACUCAAAGGAAUUGG